rnacentral:lncRNA from 10 species
GGUAUUUACAUAUUUUGGGGGAGAUUUUUAGAGUUAUAACUUCUAAGCAUCUCUUGUCAUACUAACGUGUCAUCAUCCGAUUUAUUUAUGUUAUUGCUGAGCUGACUGGUCAAUGACUUCAAUAACAAUGCUAAUUCAUCGCUACAUUGCAGCUGGGAAAAGAAAUAUUCUCAUUAUGUAUUUUCUCCAAAUAAUGGCGCUAAAGACCCAAUUGCAUUUGAUUAUACCUGGCUGUAAAUAUGCAUAAUAU